rnacentral:rRNA from 1 species
GAUGAACGCUGGCGGCGUGCCUAAUACAUGCAAGUCGAGCGAACAGAUGAGGAGCUUGCUCCUCUGACGUUAGCGGCGGACGGGUGAGUAACACGUGGAUAACCUACCUAUAAGACUGGGAUAACUUCGGGAAACCGGAGCUAAUACCGGAUAAUAUAUUGAACCGCAUGGUUCAAUAGUGAAAGACGGUUUUGCUGUCACUUAUAGAUGGAUCCGCGCCGCAUUAGCUAGUUGGUAAGGUAACGGCUUACCAAGGCAACGAUGCGUAGCCGACCUGAGAGGGUGAUCGGCCACACUGGGACUGAGACACGGUCCAGACUCCUACGGGAGGCAGCAGUAGGGAAUCUUCCGCAACGGGCGAAAGCCUGACGGAGCAACGCCGCGUGAGUGAUGAAGGUCUUCGGAUCGUAAAACUCUGUUAUUAGGGAAGAACAAAUGUGUAAGUAACUAUGCACGUCUUGACGGUACCUAAUCAGAAAGCCACGGCUAACUACGUG